rnacentral:lncRNA from 1 species
GAAGAACAUAUUAUUUAAGAAUAAUCUAGUAUAUAGUAAGCUAAGAUGACUAUAUUUUAUGUACAUGGUUGAAGGGAAUAUUUUGAAAAAAGCAAUUUUAUGAAAAUGAAUGAUAAUAUAUCUGAUGUGAUGGUAGAUAAAUUCAAAAUACUUAUUUUGUAUGCACUUAGAAAUAUAAAAGUAGCAGAUAUAAGAAAAAUCAUAUUAGAAAAAGCUUUUGGUGAAUAUUACAUGACUAGAGUAAAUUAUAUACCAUAUCUACCUAACUACUCUUACAAAUAUUUACGAUGAUAAGUUACAUAAAAUUUUUAGAAAAAGAUAUAAAAAAUAUGCAGUUACUAGAAAAACAGAUAAAAAUAAA